rnacentral:misc_RNA from 1 species
GUAUAAACUUUUAUUAUUAUGAUUCAACCAUUCUAAACGCUUUUUUUACAGAGGUUGUGAAAACAUAGACCUGAAAAAUGCAAGGGAAAGCCGACCUCUUUGAAAGUGAAGCGCAGCAGUCCCGACUCGGAACGAAUUCCAAAAAACUAAACUCCAGGUCUACAAUAUGUGCACAGUUGGAGAAAUGAUAAAGAUGACAAGCGUGCACAUUGCCUCCAGAAAGACCAGCAACAGCCUGUUCAAGUUUAUUCGAUAAUGAUCCUUCCGCAGGUUCACCUACGGAAA